AGGUGAAAAGCUAUUUGUUAGCAUGUAGUUUCGGCCUACAAGUUGGCCUAAGAUAAUAGGCUUCACCUA
rnacentral:tRNA from 1 species